UGAUUUUCGAAAAUUUGAAGAGCAGUGUUGCUGAGUGUCCCAAGGAUAAGACGAACUUAUAUCAGGGUGUACAAAUGUGCUAAUGGUUGUUUUCUUGGACCAUCUCAUGGAAAACCCUUUGGAUCCUUAGACCAUCCCUAGGAUCAACUUGUAUACUUCAGAUUUAAUCGCGGACCUGAUAAUGGUACCCAAGGAUAGCCCUGGCCCUGAAAAGAAGCAUCGUAAGACUCAAAAGAU